rnacentral:rRNA from 1 species
AUCAGGUAGGGACACCCGCUGAACUUAAGCAUAUCAAUAAGCGGAGGAAAAGAAAAUAACAAUGAUUCCCCUAGUAACUGCGAGUGAAGAGGGACAAGCUCAAAUUUAAAAUCUGUUAGGUUUUACCUGACCGAGUUGUAAUUUGAAGAGGCGUUUUCAGCGUUUUUGGUCAGCCCAAGUCCUAUUGAAUGAGGCAUCAUGGAGGGUGAUAAUCCCGUCCGGUUGAUCAAUGCGUUUUACGAUACGUCUUCCAAGAGUCAAGUUGUUUGGGAUUGCAGCUUAAAAUGGGAGGUAAAUUUCUCCUAAGGCUAAAUAACGGCGAGAGACCGAUAGCGAACAAGUACCGUGAGGGAAAGAUGAAAAGAACUUUGAAAAGAGAGUCAAACAGUACGUGAAAUUGUUGAAAGGGAAACGAUUGAAGCCAGUCGUACCGGCGGAUAAUCAGCCUUUCGAGUGCGAUUCUGUGGAGCGUGGGGAGCUUAAUCGCCUUCACGUCUUGCAUAUUCGUGCACUUUUGGUGUACUUGUCCGUGUGGUGAGUUAACAUCAAUUCCGGUCGGCAUAAAAUGAUUGGAGGAAUGUAGCUUCGAUCUCGUAUCGUAGUGUUAUAGACUCUGGUAGAUGUGACAAUUGGGAUUGAGGAUUGCAACGGAUACCCUUCGGGGCUACCCGUCUGAUCUCUGAAGGUUGCUUCGGUGCCGAAAGCGUGCUUAUGGUCAUCGAAAGUGAUCAUCAAAAGGUUAGAACAGGUUAAAUUCGUUAAGGAUGUUGACGUAAUGGCUUUAAACGACCCGUCUUGAAACACGGACCAAGGAGUCUAACAUAUAUGCGAGUGUU